CGUAUUGUCUCCCCAUGGGCCCUAAGUGUGGAACAUGGCGCAUCUGCUUGUGGUGUUACAGCUAUGAUGAUCAUAAUAUUUCACAUACAUUAUCUAUGCCAUGGAAGGGAAUGACAGUGUAUCUGUAAUAUAAGGUUUAUUAUAGAUAUAACAACCCAUUCAGAUGUGUGUGCUGCUCCAUGGCUCGGAGAUGCAUUGACUCGCAGUGACACAUGGUGCUUUCAGUUUGAUUGUGCAGUAUUCACAUCUAGUUCACAAGAUGAAUGCCUGCCACAGACACUGCACAUAACAAUAUUUCAUUUGUGCACCUGAACGG